GGACCCAUCCUUAGGAACCCGGUACCCGCCUCAGGGACCCGGGACCCUCCUUGGGGACCCCCCUCAGGGACCCGGGACCCCCCUCAGGGACCCGGCACCCCCCUCGGGGACCCAUCCUCCCCCCUCACCCCCGUCCCCGUCCUCCUCUCCCCGCGUCCUCUCCCCGCCUCACGCCUUCCCCCCGGCGAACGCCAGCUCCCCGCGGGGAGACCCCGGGGCCGGCGCCUCGCGCAGCGCCCCCCAGUCCCCUUCGGGUCCCCCUCCGAGCUCCUUGCGGGCCGCGGCGGCGGCGGCGGCGGCGCCGGGGGGUGGCAGAGCCCCCGCGGCCAGGCGGUGCCGGCGCUCGCAGUGCCCCUUGUGCCGCAUGAAGCUGUCGCGCCACAUGAACUUCUUGGCGCAGACGGCGCACUGGUAGGGCUUGAGGCCGGUGUGGGUCUUCAUGUGCUCGGUGAGGUGGUGCUUCAUCUUGAACUUCUUGCCGCAGACGGGGCAGUCGAAGGGCCGCAGGUUGAGGUGCAUGUUGACGUGGCGGUCCCGCAUGCUCUUGUGCGAGAAGGCCUUCCCGCAGUGGCACAUGAAGAUCUUGUUGCCGUCGGGCGCCGCCGCCGCCAGCUGCACGGCGCCGUGCUCGGCCGGCGCCUGGGCCGGGAACACCAGGAUCUGGUUGCCUUGCAUGUCCAUGGGGAGCAGCGAGCGCGGGGCAAAGCCCGCCGGGCCCCCGGCCUCCUCCAGCGCCUCGUAGGGCGAGGAGAAAUCCUCGGAGGACUCGCAGAAGUUCACCUGCUCCUCCAGCUUGGCGGAGGAAGGAGGGGGAGGAGGAGGAGGAGGAGGAGGAGGAGGCCGUGAGGGUCCCUCGGCCCGCGCCGGGCCCUCCACGGGGUCCUCGUCCUCCUCGCAGGUGAGGACCAGGUCCUCCUGCAGCCACUCCUGCUUGACGUAGACCCACUGCUUCUGGGGCACGAUGCUGGGCUGCACGUAGAGGGGGCGCCGCGCGGCCUCGCCGUCCUCUUCCUCGGCC
rnacentral:lncRNA from 1 species